rnacentral:rRNA from 1 species
GAUGAACGCUGGCGGCGUGCCUAAUACAUGCAAGUCGAGCGAACAGACGAGGAGCUUGCUCCUCUGACGUUAGCGGCGGACGGGUGAGUAACACGUGGAUAACCUACCUAUAAGACUGGGAUAACUUCGGGAAACAGGAGCUAAUACCGGAUAAUAUAUUGAACCGCAUGGUUCAAUAGUGAAAGACGGUUUUGCUGUCACUUAUAGAUGGAUCCGCGCCGCAUUAGCUAGUUGGUAAGGUAACGGCUUACCAAGGCAACGAUGCGUAGCCGACCUGAGAGGGUGAUCGGCCACACUGGAACUAAGACACGGUCCAGACUCCUACGGGAGGCAGCAGUAGGGAAUCUUCCGCAAUGGGCGAAAGCCUGACGGAGCAACGCCGCGUGAGUGAUGAAGGUCUUCGGAUCGUAAAACUCUGUUAUUAGGGAAGAACAAAUGUGUAAGUAACUAUGCACGUCUUGACGGUACCUAAUCAGAAAGCCACGGCUAACUACGUG